AAUGAACGCUGGCGGCAGGCCUAACACAUGCAAGUCGAACGGACCCUUCGGGGUUAGUGGCGGACGGGUGAGUAACGCGUGGGAACGUGCCCUUUGGUUCGGAAUAGCCUCGGGAAACUGGGAGUAAUACCGGAUGAGCCCUAUGGGGGAAAGAUUUAUCGCCAAAGGAUCGGCCCGCGUUGGAUUAGGUAGUUGGUGGGGUAAUGGCCUACCAAGCCGACGAUCCAUAGCUGGUUUGAGAGGAUGAUCAGCCACACUGGGACUGAGACACGGCCCAGACUCCUACGGGAGGCAGCAGUGGGGAAUCUUAGACAAUGGGGGAAACCCUGAUCUAGCCAUGCCGCGUGAUCGAUGAAGGCCUUAGGGUUGUAAAGAUCUUUCAGAUGGGAAGAUAAUGACGGUACCAUCAGAAGAAGCCCCGGCUAACUCCGUGCCAGCAGCCGCGGUAA
rnacentral:rRNA from 1 species